GAAUGGCAAGUGUGACUCAGUCAGAGUGUGACUCAGAAGAUGAAGGCAUGUGAUCGUGAGCUGACAUUAAAGACAAAUUCCUGUUGCUGCAAAAAAAUCAGGUCAAGAUGAGAGGUUUUUAUUGAUUUUUCUCUCCUUAAUCCUUCUCUUCCUCCCUGCAAAGUAUGAAGGCUAGCUUGGAUCUACCAGAUUUCAAGAAAGAGCUGACUUGUUCUAUCCAUUCGCAUCAUUUGAUCAAACCACUUGUAAUUGCAGGUGCACGCAGGCCUUGCUGUGAGUGCCUCUAGGGAGAUGGAAAGGAACAUCUGGUUAUGGCUCCAAGGUUUGCUGUGCAGUAGGGGAUGAUGGCUGAGAUGGCAAAGCAUCUGAGAUGUCAUGUAAUGGAUUUCAAGAAUAGCAUAUGUGAGAUGCACCCAAAAAGCCUGAAGGCUUGUGUUGACAGAGUUGAUGCUCCUGUGUGAGACUCGUGUUCUGUCUCAGCAACACAAGUCUCUCUCAAAAUUCAUCACUGGGAAGGCAAAAGUCAUCUUCAAGAAUGAGGCCCAAGAAAUCCGGAAUUCUCUACACAAGGCAAUGGUCUCACAAGCGGACAACUGCCUCGGCAGAGAAAAAUGAACAGCCUCUGUAAGACUGAGAGCGGGUACGCCACUAACUUCGUGGAACGAACUUCAACCACGUGGAUUACACAGUUAACUACCAGUAGUCAAACGUGAAACCUCUCGUGAAUGAGUAGGAAGUGGAGAAAAACAAAGAAAAUGCAAGAAUCUGUCAAUACCUGCAGGAGGCUUCUCUUAUGCAGAAUCUGGUCAGAAAAAAACGGAAACCAUGAUCGCUUCAGCAGCACAUAAACUAAAAUUGGAACUAUACAGAGAUUAGCAAGGCCCCUGUGCGAGGAUGACACCCAAAUUCGUGAAGCAUUCCAC
rnacentral:lncRNA from 10 species